rnacentral:rRNA from 1 species
AUUGAACGCUGGCGGCAGGCCUAACACAUGCAAGUCGAACGCGUGGCGGACGGGUGAGUAAUGUCUGGGAAACUGCCCGAUGGAGGGGGCUAACUACUGGAAACGGUAGCUAAUACCGCCUACCAUCGGAUGUGCCCAGGUGGGAUUAGCUAGUAGGUGGGGUAAAGGCUCACCUAGGCGACGAUCCCUAGCUGGUCUGAGAGGAUGACCAGCCACACUGGAACUGAGACACGGCCCAGACUCCUACGGGAGGAAGCAGUGGGGAAUAUUGCACAAUGGGGGCAAGCCUGACGCAGCCAUGCCGCGUGUAUGAAGAAGGCCUUCGGGUUGUAAAGUACUUUCGGCGAGGAGGCGUUACCCGCAGAAGAAGCACCGGCUAACUCCGUGCCAGCAGCCGCGGUAAUUC